GACGAACGCUGGCGGCGUGCCUAACACAUGCAAGUCGAACGGGGAAUUAGCAAUAAUUCUUAGUGGCGAACGGGUGAGUAACGCGUAGACAACCUACCCUUUAGGUGGGGACAACAGAUCGAAAGAUCUGCUAAUACCGAAUGUUGCUUGAGAAGCGCAUGCUUCUCAAACUAAAGAUGGCCUCUAUAUAUAAGCUAUCGCUAAAGAAUGGGUCUGCGUCUGAUUAGCUAGUUGGUGAGAUAAAAGCUCACCAAGGCAACGAUCAGUAGCCGGUCUGAGAGGAAGACCGGCCACACUGGGACUGAGCCACGGCCCCGACUCCUACGGGAGGCAGCAGUGGGGAAUCUUCCGCAAUGGACGAAAGUCUGACGGAGCAACGCCGCGUGAGUGAUGAAGGUUUUCGGAUCGUAAAACUCUGUUGUUAAGGACGAAUGUAUAGAUUGUGAAUAAUGGUUUAUAAUGACGGUACUUAACGAGGAAGCCACGGCUAACUACGUGCCAGCAGCCGCAGUAACAC
rnacentral:rRNA from 1 species